rnacentral:rRNA from 1 species
AUUGAACGCUGGCGGAAUGCUUUACACAUGCAAGUCGAACGGCAGCAUAGGUGCUUGCACCUGAUGGCGAGUGGCGAACGGGUGAGUAAUACAUCGGAACGGGCCCAGUCGUGGGGGAUAACGUAGCGAAAGUUACGCUAAUACCGCAUACGCUCUAAGGAAGAAAGCGGGGGACCGUAAGGCCCCGCGCGAUUGGAGCGGCCGAGGUCAGAUUAGGUAGUUGGUGAGGUAAAGGCUCACCAAGCCGACGAUCUGUAGCUGGUCUGAGAGGACGACCAGCCACACUGGGACUGAGACACGGCCCAGACUCCUACGGGAGGCAGCAGUGGGGAAUUUUGGACAAUGGACGCAAGUCUGAUCCAGCCAUUCCGCGUGCAGGACGAAGGCCUUCGGGUUGUAAACUGCUUUUGUACGGAACGAAAAAGCUCUUACUAAUACUAGGAGUCCAUGACGGUACCGUAAGUAUAAGCACCGGCUAACUACGUGCCAGCAGCCGCGGUAA